CAGCCGCCGCGGUAAUACGAAGGGGGCUAGCGUUGCUCGGAAUUACUGGGCGUAAAGCGCACGUAGGCGGAUUUUUAAGUCAGGGGUGAAAUCCCGAGGCUCAACCUCGGAACUGCCUUUGAUACUGGAGAUCUUGAGUUCGGAAGAGGUUGGUGGAACAGCUAGUGUAGAGGUGAAAUUCGUAGAUAUUAGCUAGAACACCAGUGGCGAAGGCGGCCAACUGGUCCGAUACUGACGCUGAGGUGCGAAAGCGUGGGGAGCAAACAGGAUUAGAUACCCCAGUAGUCCCUGUCUCUUAUAC
rnacentral:rRNA from 1 species